GAUGAAGAACGUAGCGAAAUGCGAUACUUGGUGUGAAUUGCAGAAUCCCGUGAACCAUCGAGUCUUUGAACGCAAGUUGCGCCCGAAGCCUCGGCUAAGGGCACGUCUGCCUGGGCGUCACGCAUCGCGUCUCCCCCAAACCGCCAAGGCGGAGGGGAAGGAAGAUGGCUUCCCGUGCCUCACCCGGGCGCGGUUGGCCUAAAUUUGGAGCCCGCGGCACUUAGCUCUCGCGGCGAUAGGUGGUGAACAAGGCCUUGGCCGUGCAAACAACCCGCUGCGAAGCUCUAUGUCACGUGCGCUCGUCGGACCCUUUGAAGUUGCCUUCGGUGACUUAAAACCUUUGCGACCCCAGGUCAGGCGGGGCUACCCGCUGAAUUUAAGCAUAUCAAUAAGCGGAGGA
rnacentral:misc_RNA from 1 species